AUUGAACGCUGGCGGCAUGCUUUACACAUGCAAGUCGAACGGUAACAGGCCGCGAGGUUCUGCCUAGUGGCGGACGGGGGCGUAAUGCAUCGGAACGUGCCGGAACCUAGGGUUUAGUGGGGGAUAAGGUAGGCAAAUACACCCUAAUACCUCUGACGACCUACGGGGGACAGCAGGGCAUCUUCGGACUUUGCGCGCUUGAAUGAGCCGAUGUCGGAUUAGGUAGUUGGUGGGGUAAAGGCUCACCAAGGCGACGAUCCGUAGCUGGUCUGAGAGGAUGAUCAGCCACACUGGGACUGAGACACGGCCCAGACUCCUACGGGAGGCAGCAGUGGGGAAUAUUGGACAAUGGGCGCAAGCCUGAUCCAGCAAUACCGCGUGCAGGAAGAAGGCCUUCGGGUUGUAAAGUGCUUUUGUAGGGAAAGAAACGCAGCUGGUUAAUACCCGGCGGUAAUGACGGUACCGAAAGAAUAAGCACCGGCUAACUACGUG
rnacentral:rRNA from 1 species